AACAGCAGAUGCAAAUGAUUAAAAAUCAUCGUUGAUGGUAAAAUAGGUUCAGCUGUGAGUUCAAAGAUUAGAGGCAUAUUACCAACUCAUAAGGAAGUUAAAUUCAUGGAUGUAUGAAUGAAAAAUGUGAUUUACCUCGGUAAACUCGCCGGUAAUGGUCUCGCAGGUUACGAUAUGGCCUUCUGCUUCGUGCAGGACUUAAUUGGCACUCCGAUCGACAUUUUGUAUUUAAAUUGAUAACUAGAGAAAUUUCUGAAAGAAUUACAAAAAAGUUUAGGAUUCAAAAGAGCCAAAAUACUGAAGAGAAAAUUAGGAAAUUAAAACACGCUGACAGGAAGAAAACAAAACGAUUUUCGCCGCACGAUUUGCUCACAGAGAGAAGAUUGUUGAAGAGUGGCGGUCCGCCGUAUCCUUCUUAGUUCUUGAGCACUGGGCCUGGAAGUGGGGCCACUGUCCUACUUACGUGUAUACUAAGUUGCGGUAUUACCAGGAGCACUUUGUACUCGAACCACACGAUACAUGAUGCAUAGUGCCCAGUCUAGGAGUCUCUAUUCAGUUGCGAAGUUGAUUUGUUUUGCUUCUUAUCAUUGCAAGAAAUGGCAACCAACAGACCAUUAGAUAUUCGGUGGGAUUAGAAGAUAUAAAGCGUUUUACAUCGCUGGGUGUGAUUAUAUUUUGUAUACAGAUUUUAUUAGCGUAUUUCUUCCUAGCAAGUCAUGAUGAAAAGUCGGAAAAAACGAUCGAGAUUUCCAGUCUGGAAAAGGCAGAUGGAACUUGGAGGUUGCUGAUGACAAGCAGAGAAAAGAGUUCCGUGGUGACAGGGACAAUGUCCUGGGAGGUUGAUGAUGAAGAUAAUCCUGCCAAUAGUAACUCAAUAAUCAGCGAACUCACCCGGAACAAGGUGCUGCCAGACAAGUUGGAAGAACAGGCGAAUUGAUAACAAAGUGCCUCAAAUUAGUAAAUUAUCAAAUGUCUCCCAUUUGCGGCUGGGAAGAACUAGACUUUGUCCCGCUAUGUGAUAUUACUGGCAAAGAGGCCAUCUCUGCCAUUCACCGUGCCAAAACGCAGUAUUGUUAAAAAAGAAAUAUCCAAUAUCUCGUGCCUUAUCGCAGAAGGUUUGCUUUAUCCCAAGAAGUUACCACACCUAUGCGCCAUCUCAGGUUAGUAUCCUAUCGAGGGCUCUCUGCGGAUUCAGAUUUUCACAACAAAAAUUCUGCUAGUGUCAUAUUUAAAACAAUCCUCUUGGAGAAUAAAGCAUAGUUAUAAAUAAUACCUAAUUAUUUGUGAUAGCUGUGUUCUGUUAUAACCUUGGGAAUAUAAAAUCUGAAUAACAAGACCUUACUCUAAUAUGAAAAUGGGGGUUGGUGCUUGUGGUGGAAUAAAUUCACCAAUGUACUUACUUAAUAUCACCCAUUCUGACUUUGAAAAGAAACUAUGCAGGACUAGCUACUCUAGAUGCCUCCACAUUUUCUGCCUGUAGCUCAAAAUCUGGUGCCAUAGUUUGAGUCAGGUCUCUUUAAAUGUGGACAAGGUGCGGGAAUAUUUCAAGAAGAAAGAUCAACCUCAGAACCUAUAAGUCCGCUAUCAUAUAUCCAAAUAGAAAAAGUUAAUAUAGUUCUAAAUAAAUAUCUAAAACUCUUUAUCAUUAAAUCUAUAUUUUAAGUUUUCUCGCUUGAUUGUUGACUUUUGGCUCCUCAGUUAAUUUUGUUUGGUUCUUUUUGCUUCUCUCAUAGAAAUGGGAAGUCUCUUGGUUGUUUUCAAGAUGGUAAGUCCAAGCGUCUCCUGUCCAGUUACUAUGUCAGCUUGAAGUUCAACAACUCACCUAGCAAUUGUGUCAAUUUGUGCCUUCAAUCCGGCUUCUCGUACGCUGGAGUCAACUAAGGUAAGUUUUUCAGUGAAUGUUGCUCUCAUGGAGAGGAGAGGCUCAGAUAGAAACUUUGUUAUUAAAGUAAAUCUAAGUGAUCUAGAGGUUAAAAAGUACUGCUAUACUGCUUCUCCUUGUCUAUAGAAGGAAUUGAUAUUGUAAAUUAAAUCCAACCUCUAUAUUCUCUACUCACCCCAUUAAAGUUUGAUUUUCUUUUUCCUUUUUUUCCCAGUUACAAAAAUACAAUUUAAAAAAAAAAAAAUUAAUCGGUAAAAGUAGAAGUCGAAUAAAGUCACCUUGCAAAGACCCUAUGUAAUUAAAUGGAUUCAGGCAAGUA
rnacentral:lncRNA from 1 species